rnacentral:rRNA from 1 species
CUACGGGCUGCAGCAGUGGGGAAUAUUGGACAAUGGGGGAAACCCUGAUCCAGCAAUGCCGCGUGUGUGAAGAAGGCCUGCGGGUUGUAAAGCACUUUCGGUUGGGAGGACUGCUUCUAGCACUAAUAUUGUUGGAAGUUGACGUUACCUUCAGAAGAAGCACCGGCUAACUCCGUGCCAGCAGCCGCGGUAAUACGGAGGGUGCAUGCGUUAAUCGGAAUUACUGGGCGUAAAGCGCGCGUAGGCGGCUAGAUCAGUCGGGUGUGAAAGCCCCGGGCUUAACCUGGGAACUGCAUCCGAUACUGUCUAGCUUGAGUACAGGAGAGGAGAGUGGAAUUCCACAUGUAGCGGUGAAAUGCGUAGAUAUGUGGAGGAACACCAAUGGCGAAGGCAGCUCUCUGGCCUGAUACUGACGCUGAGGUGCGAAAGCGUGGGGAGCAAACAGGAUUAGAUACCCUUGAGUC